AUACUUAGCUGGCAGGUGAGAUACCAUAAUCACAAAAGUGAUUUUCCCAGGUGAGGCUCAUCCAUUGCUCUCCGGAUGUGUUGACCCCUGUGAUUUCCCUAAAUGUGGGAAACUCGGUUGCAUAAUUUGUGGUAGUGGGGGAUGGCAUUCACACUUUCCCCUU